UCACCUUCCAGGUCUGUCAUUUGGACUAAGGAAAUCGCUCAAGUUGACAUUCCCUUAGCUCUGUUGUCCAAGAUAUUACCUGCAUGAACUGGAGAGAGGCCUCAAAGUCCUCCACUGGAUACAUCUUAAUUCGAAAAAAUUUCAUCCCCAUGAUCAAGCUGAUAAUGCUUUGAACCACCACUCAACAUCGCCUUCAGGCUAGGGGUGCAAAUCCAGGGUUAUGUAGACUCUCAAAAUGGCCCAGCCCUUAACUUGAGCAGGCUGAAAAGCUUCAUGUCCUCAGACUUAGCAAUUUCCAGCCAACAUGCAGACCCUGGGGCCUCAAGUUUCAAAUUGUUUCAUAGAAAAGAUUGAUGUCUUGGAUGAUGAUGAUGACAGCAGUAAGUAGCAUUUGCUACACAACAGCCAUGGUCAGCACACUCUACAUGCAGUCACUCAUUGCAUCCUCACAAUGGGAUACUUGGGGUACUGUUAUAUCUCUGUGACAGACAAGAAAAUUGAGGCAGAUAGUUCAUAACUUGAUAAAGUAACACAACUGCUAUAAGUUAGACCUGGAAUUUGAAGGGAGUGUCUGACUCUAGAAUUGCUGUUCUUGAUUUCUAUGCUACACAUUGUACCACCACUGCUCAAAGUGCGGUUCUCAGACCAGCAGUGCCAGCAUCACCAGGAAUUUGUAGACUUUCACAUGCUUUGCCUCUGGGCGCAACCUACACUUAGAGGCUCAACUUUGUUUCCCAGCAAGUUCAUAUACGGAAGUCCUCACCACAGGUACCUCAGAACAUGACUCCAUUUAGGGAGGAGGUCUUUAAAGACACAAUUAAGUGAAAAUAUCACUAUGGCGGGUCCUAGUCCAAUAGGACUGGUGUCCUUGUACAAGGAGGAGAUUAGGACACAUGCAUUCACGGAGGGAAGAACAUGUGAAGACAAAGGGAAAAGACAGAAUGUGCAAGCCGAGGAAAGAAGUCUGGGGAGAAUCCAACCUGCUGACAUUGUGACCUUGGACUUCCAGCCUCAAGAACUAGGAGGAAGCACAGGUUUGCUGUUUAAGUGCCCAGUCUUUGUAUUUUGCUGCGGCCACCCUAGCAAACACACAUAUGAGCAACUGCUUAGCUAAGUAGAAGUGCUGAGUUUGAGAAUGAGUGCUAAGAGGGGGCAAGGAGCAGUUUCUCCAAACACCUAAGUCACCAUUCUACUGAAGAAGAACGGAAAAACUUUCUGACAAAUAGAGACUUCUGAACAUGUGAUGAACUCUAUCACAUAAUUUAGUUACAAGUUGAAUGCAUUAUUUAUUAUCCGGCUAGAUGUGAAUGCUACAAGAUCAAGCACAUAGGAGGCACUCAGAAAAUACACCGAGUGGAUUAACUUCCCAUGGGGAUAAUGCGUCUCCUGUCACAGGAGGUAUCCGGCAGAAGCUGAACACAUUUCCCAUGCUACAGAGCUGUCCCCUGCAAAGGGCACAUGGUUAGGCCACUUCAAGGCCCUUCUUUCAAACUUGAAAUCUUAUUAAUGUGAUGUGACUUCUGCUGAGAAGGAAGCAUGGGCAUUCCUCAUAAAAAGGGCCCACAUUUAAGCACUGGUUUUCAUCUCUAACCAAUGAAUGCAACAGGAAGAAGAAAAAGGAGAGUUAUCCGAAUAACACAGUAUUUCAAUAUCCCCAACAAAGGAAGCAGUGUUCUGAGACUGUGAUAAAAAUAAUGGUCCUGGAGUAAAAGAAGUAUUGUGACAAGUCAUGGAUAAAGAUCUUUUUGAGGAUUGUAUUUCCCAAGAAUCGGAGCAUCACUACCACCUCUGGAUUGAAUUCACAUCAUGCCUGGCUCAUUGUACCCAACCUAGGCAUUUGGGAUUUUGCCCAAUUUGCCUCGAGGCUGGGUAAAAUGAAGACAGGCUUAGGCACACAGAGGCGGUGAGCCGGCCACAGUCACAUGGCUAAGCAGCAGUGUCAGGAUUCCCCACAACGUGCAGCCCAGCACCCUGCAAGCUACAGCACACUGGGCAUUCCAGGGCUGAUUGGGAGCAGCAGCUGCUACCACUCCCCAGCAUCACAAAGGAGAAUCAGACCACGCAGCCCUAGCCCUGGGGAAAAGAACAAAUUCAAAGUUUCAACUUGGAGUCUACUGAAGUCUGGAAUACAGAUGCAAUGGCUAAGCUCAAGCAACCAUUCUGGUUCUUGGGAAUGAAAGCCACACCGAAGCAAAACAAUUAUACAAAUGCUGGACUAACUUCCUCUAUGCUUUUUGAACAUGACAGAAAUA